rnacentral:lncRNA from 1 species
AUGCUCACUGUUCCCCUCGCGGCCCCGCCUCUCCCUGCUCCCCAAGCUUGGAAGCUGCGCCGCCCCCUGUGUCCCAGCGUGGCAUGGGGGCGUCAGGAUGCCAGCAUUGCCUGCUUCCGGUUCCUCUCCUCUGAAGACCACAGGACGCCCGCUGGCCUCUUCCUUGUCCUCUGUAUCUCUGUUCUACCCGCAGCAGUAAGACACCAAUUGCCAAGUAUGCAUUACGUCUAUCUUAUAUUAUACAAUCUCCUGAAUUAUAUUACUUGGUUAUUUAAAGACCACCUUUACAGAAACAAGUGGCCAAAGAUGAAACUGAGAGACGAGGCUAAGAAAGGAAAGGGAAAUGAACUGGAAGAUCCACAAACCAGUGGUGAUUGCUGCGUUUCUGCGUCUCUCCUCUGUUCUCUUCACCUGGCAGCACUGUGUCUUGCACUUUUGGGAGCCGCUACGCUGUCUCCCUCCAUCCCUGCUUCCACCAGUUGAUAGACUGUCUCCUAACGUGCGUGGACUUUGAUCUGCACUUUGACCCUCCUACGUUUGCUCACCUCUGCCCAUCUUAUGCCCGCCCCAGGUGACCAAGUUUAGCCCACAGGAGACAGGUGAGUCACCUUUGUCAGGUCUGUCAUGAUGGUUCCAUUUCAGAAAUCUUCCUCCAUUACUUUGCUUUGAAAACUACAGUUUUCCAGGAAAACGCAUCAGUUGCAAAUGACCUUAAUGAAUACUUGCUUCAGGUAUUGGAGUUAUCAAGCAGAAUCAAUAAAAACCCAAGGUAAAUGGAUUUUGCAAUUAUCUCUUGGGUACCACAUCACAUUAGGAGUUCUGAAAGUCUUUGUAACAUGUUUUUAACCAUCAUUAAAAUUA